rnacentral:rRNA from 1 species
UACGUAGGGUGCGAGCGUUGUCCGGAAUUAUUGGGCGUAAAGAGCUCGUAGGCGGUCUGUCGCGUCGAAUGUGAAAACCCGGGGCUCAACUCCGGGCUUGCAUUCGAUACGGGCAGGCUAGAGCUCGGUAGGGGAGUCUGGAAUUCCUGGUGUAGCGGUGAAAUGCGCAGAUAUCAGGAGGAACACCGGUGGCGAAGGCGGGACUCUGGGCCGAUACUGACGCUGAGGAGCGAAAGCGUGGGGAGCGAACAGG